CCCUUCUUUGAUUGAAGUCUUAAAAAAAUUACUGAAAGUGAUCCUUCCCUUUUUAAGAACUAGAAAAACAAAUUUUGAGUCACUUACCUAUGAACGACUUUUAAUAAAUUAAAACUCAUUUUAUACUAAACUUUAUUGUCUUUUACAGCAGACAAAUUCAGUAUUGCGAGAAUUGUGGGAAAGAAAAUGCAUGUAAAUAUAUCGGAAUGUGUGAAUAGACCGGUAAUAUAGAACAAGCAAGAUGAAUAUUUCUCCUGUGUUACCUUUGAACUAUUAACAAGUAGAUUAAAACAAAAUGUAUAUUAUUUACUUUCGUUGUACUCCACGAGUAAUGGUAUAGAAAUUUUACAUAAAUAUGAAAAUGCAUGUACAUUUCUAUCUUAUCAAACUUUUCUCUAAGUUGAUAUAUAGUGUAUUCCUCUCAUCCAAUGAAAACGGUACACUUUUGUACAGAUAAAGGCAACAGUAGUAUACCGGAGUUCAACUGCCAUUAAACGAUUGAGACAAAACGAAUACGGGUUACAAACUAAAACCGAGGGAAACACAUCGACCAUAGGAGGACAACAAAGGACUAAUAGGAGCACUGAAAUGCAAACUCAAACAUACAUUGAAACGAACAAUUUUAUACCAACUGCCAUAUUCCUGACAAAAAAAGGGGGGUGGGGGUGAUAUCAAAUGGAAAACCAAAAGUUCUGAAUAUGUUGAGUAAAGAUUCAAAAACGUUAUCAAAAUUACUGGAAAAAAACGUUAUAUUGUUUUUUUAUUCCAAAAUUCUAAUCUGCAUUUGCAAUAAAAGCUAUAUUCUUGAGUAGCCAACUGAUAAGUAAAUAAAAGCAGAAUUAUUUUACUGCAAGAAAUGAAGGAUAAGUUUCCUACAACUUUCAAAUUCAAGGGCAUAAUUUAUUGCGACCCUUUUUCGUAUGCAACCGGAUGUGACGUACUAUGCUUUGGUGGUAUUAAAUCUACACAGUUUCGAGAUUUUGCAUGUUUUACUUAAUUAUUUUCCUACAUUUAAUAGCUGUUGUUUUGUUGAAAAAUUGGAAAUUAGCUGUCAAAUUUUACUCUCCUAUGUCAAGUUGCAAUACAUUAGAUGAUUUCCUCCAAGGAGGUAUAGGUAAAAAUUUAAAAAAACAAAUGUUUAUGUAAAAAGAAACAAAAUAACGACAAAUUCUCAAAUACUCCUGUUGUCAAAAUAAUAAACGUAUAUUUCUAUAUACAUUGAUAUAGAACAAAUCAGUAAAAAUCGUUUUUUAUUUAACUUUGGUAAAAAUGACAAAUAGGUUGAUAGUUAUUAAUUACUAAGAAAAUUUACCAAUUUAAAAGACAUAAUGUACAAUUUUAUUCGUCUUUAAAAAGUUAAAUCAAAAAUAUACCUCAUCUUCUUAUAUCUAUAAACACCAAGGAAAAUUCAAAAUGGAAAGUCCCUCAUCAAAUUUCAAAAUCAAACGCUAAAGUGCAACAAACAAAUGGAUAACAACUGUCAUAUUUUUGACUUGGUAUAGGCUUUUUCUUAUGUAGAGAAUGAAGGAUCAAACCUGGUUUAAUAGCUAGCUGAACAUCUCACUUGUUUGACAGUCGCAUCAAAUUCCGUUAAAAUUGACAGCGAUAUGUGAACAAAACAAACAGACAAAACAGGUAAAAAUGUCAAAAAUAGGGAUACAGCAAUCAACAUUGUGUGAUAAUCUUAAUCACAAUAAAAACAAUGAAAUAUGUAACAAAGAAACACAUAUAUGACAACACAUUAAAUUCAUUUGUCUAUGUGUGAUUUCCAAAUUUUCUGUGUUCUUUAUAAUUUUUUCUCGUUGUUUUUAGAUCUGUCAUCCUUUUUUCGUGGAAUACAAUUUUUAUUUAGUGUUAAAGUCAUAUGAAACUUCAAAUUAAAAAAAAAAAUAUGCAUAUAUUUUUUUUUUAACUAAAUGGCUAGUGUUUAUUAUAAAACUUAUGUCCAUAUGCUAUUUCUCAAGAAAUUUUUAUAAUUUGUCCAAAUUUAGAAAAAAGUUUACUUUUUUAUAAUUGGUUGCUUCCAGGAAACAAUUCGCCACAUGUUUUCCGUAUGCAGCGUGACCUUUCUCGUAAAAAUCCGGUGAUCGCAAUACGCAAGUGCGAAUGGAAAACCAUACGUAAACAUCUCUCCGUCAUCAAGAUAAACUAUAUCUUAUUGUACCUGUUAUACACGUGCUUACCUGAAUAUCCAUGCUUCUUUGUUGAAUGUUUACAAACGGAUGACAAUCGUUAAACUUCGGCUUCAAAACACGACCAUUAAUUAGCUGCCAUAUUUUCACAACAACACUGACCGAUUGAAACAUAUUUUUACGAUUAUACGAAAUUUAUGCAAAAUAAAAUGAGAAAAUCGUGCACAGAAGACUAAGUUUAUGAUAUAUGUAUGCAUUGGUUCUAGAAUUGGAUUAACAUAAUUUUUCACCAGUCACUCGUUUCAUAUGACAUUUUAACAACAAAAAUUCUUUCAGUAAAAGACAAUAUAAUUAUAAUUGUAAUAGAUUUAUAAAAUGUGUAUUUAACAUAGAUGCUUCACGUUGAAUUAAAAUAGAUUUGAUUUAAUUAUAGUUUUUAAGAAUACAAAUAUAAUGGUUAUGCAUUAAGGGAGCUGUCAGUGUACGAAUCAAAACACUUGUUUGAAUUAAGGGACACAAAUUAUCCUUUUUUACAAUACAAGAUUUGUUUUUUGUA